UACGGGGGGGGCAAGCGUUGUUCGGAAUUACUGGGCGUAAAGGGCUCGUAGGCGGCCAACUCAGUCAGACGUGAAAUCCCUCGGCUUAACCGGGGAACGGCCUCUGAUACUGGCUGGCUUGAGUUCGGGAGAGGGAUGCGGAAUUCCAGGUGUAGCGGUGAAAUGCGUAGAUAUCUGGAGGAACACCGGUGGCGAAGGCGGCAUCCUGGACCGACACUGACGCUGAGGAGCGAAAGCCAGGGGAGCAAACGGG
rnacentral:rRNA from 1 species